UUGCCUCCAGAGACAACAGUCCAUCUACGACCUCAAGUAUGCCCACUACAAGACUGUCUCCCACCUGGAAAGUCUUUGGCCACUUUUACAACCCAUGAAGAUGCCAGCAGUUACCAACGUGACUGCCCAGUAGAUAAGGCACCAAAGGGAGUCAGCAGAUCCCGCACCUGCUUGCUUCCUCUCCCACAUUAAAAGAGCCCGCUUUCUGCUCCAAAGCCAAAGUACUGCCCUUAAGGCAGGAAGCCUGUACUUCUUCCCCUAAGUUAGCUUUGGAAUAAAAAGUCUCUUUCUUUAUACCAGACCUUACUCUCAUUAACUGGACUCUGCAAGCAGCAAGCAACUGAACCUGCAUUUCAGUUACAAUUUUGGUGACCCAUAUGGGGAAGUGCUGCCCGCCCUAGGUGAGUCUGAGCUGGAUAGCCUAGUUAUGCUCCUGGGUGAGGCAUGGGGUCACCUGUGAGUGCCAGCCGCUCAUAGCUAGCGACAGGAACAUCAUGGAACUUCCCGGCAGCUGCCAAAAAUGCUUUUGUUUUUGGAAGAGUCUUCCUUUCACCUCCCAGCAUGACAUCUGCCACCUUCAGUGUUUCACUGGUACAAAGCAAGUGACCUCUGAAGAAGACAGCAAACUUUGGAACUGGAACAAGAACAAUGAUGAAAUGCUGACUUUGAGACUGUUAUUUAGAGCUAAACUCACAAGAGAGGUCAAAUUAGUUCCAAAAUGGAUCCAGUGCUCCCAUACCUCCUCACCCUACCAGUCCUAAUGGCAGAAGAUGGAGCAGAAGCGGAAACAAGCCCUCUGUGGAAGGAAGCGUUCCCAAGGUGAACCCACAGAACUGUUAUUUGACCUCACAACCACCCACCAAACCCAUGAAGGGUCUCACAUUGUUACCCAGGGUCAAGCAAUCCUCCCACCUCCACCCCCCAACUAGCUGGGACUACAGAUGUGUGACACCACACGCAGCUAAGUUUAGUAUUUUUUGUAGGCCACCAGACUCAGCUAAUGUUUCAAAUUUUUUGUGGAGAUGAGGUCUCAGUAUGUUGUCCAGGUUAAUCCUCCUGCCUUGGCCUCCCAAAGUGCUGGGAUUAUAGGCAUGUGCCACCACACCCAGCCAGUGUUAUUUUCUUAGUUUUGUUUGUUUUGUUUUGUUACUGUCAGUGAAACCUUCUUUAAUCAAGCCCAAUAUUUGGCUGGGCAUGGUGGCUCACGUCUGUAAUCCCAACACUUUGGGAGGCCGAGGCGGGCGGGUCACUUGAGGUCAGGAGUUUCAGACCAGUCUGGCCACCAUGGUGAAACUUCAUCUCUACUAAAAAAUACAAAAAUUAGCUGGGCGUGGUGGCAUAUGCCUACAGUCCUGGCUACUUGGAAGGGUGAGGCAGGAGAAUCGCUUGAACCUGGGAGGCGGAGGUUGCAGUGAGCCGAGACUGCACCACCGCACUCCAGCCUGGGUGACAGAGCGAGACUCUGUCUCAAAAAAAAAGAAACCCCGUCUGUACUAAAAAUACAAAAAAUCAGCCAGGCAUGGUGGCGCAUGCCUGUAAUCCCAGCUACUCGGGAGGCUGAGGCAGGAGAAUCGCUUGAACUCGGAGGCAGAUGUUGCAGUGAGCAAAGAUCGUGCCAUUGCACUCCAGCCUGGGCAACAAGAGUGAAACUCCAUCUCAAAAAAAAAAAAAAAAAAUGGCCGGGCAUGGUGGCUCACGCCUGUAAUCACAACACUUUGGGAAGCCGAGGCGGGCGGAUCAUGAGGCCAGGAGAUGGACACCAUCCUGGCUAACGCAGUGAAACCCCAUCUCUACUAAAAAUACAAAAAAUUAGCCGGGUGUGGUGGCAUGUGCCUGUACUCCCAGCUACUCGGGAGGCUGAGGCAGGCAGAAGAAUCACUUGAACCUAGGAGGCGGAGGUUGCAGUGAGCGGAGAUUGCGCCACUGCACUCCAGCAUAAGCAACAGAGCGAGACUGUCUUAAAAAAUAAAAAUUAAAAUAAAAAGUGUGAGCCACUGCACCUGGCCAAUGUCUAAUUUAUUUAAUUAAAACAAAAGUGAAUCUGCAAAAUUCAGCUACAAGUCUAUGUAGAUCAUGAGUGUUAAGAUAAAGACUGUCAACCUGAGGCCAGGCUCAGUGGCUUACACCUGUAAUUCCAGCACUUUGGAAGGCCAAGGCCCAUGGAUCACUUGAGGUCAGGAGUUACAGACCAGCCUGGCCAACAUGGCGAAACCCCAUCUCUACUAAAAAUACAAAGAUCAGCCAGGCAUGGUGGCAGGCACCUGUAAUCACAGCUACUCAGGAGGCUGAGGCAUAAGAAUCACUUGAACCCAGAAGGCAGAGGUUGCAGUGAGCUGAGAUCGAGCCACUGCACUCCAGCCUGGGGGACAGAGUGAGACUCCGUCUCAAAAAGAAAAAAAAAUUCAGGAGAUGGAGGUCACUAUGUCUCCCAGGCUGGUCUUGAACUCCUGGCUUCAAGCAAUCUCCCACCUCAGCCUCCCAAAGCACUGGCAUUACAAGUGUGAGGCACCAUGCCCAGCCAGCCAAUGGGCCUGAUUAUUUGAAAGGACUAACGUUUCAGAUAACGUUUCUAUUCUCAAAGCCAAACUGUUUUUUAAAGUCCCUUUUGCUGUAGGGAUGUGAGUAGAGCAGUUAAGAUAGUGUCUUACAUUAAGACUUUAUUGAGUCAAAUAUAUAUGUUCAAUAUUAUCGUAAUAUAGUAAGACCAUAUUGAACAUAUUAAGGUAUUUGGGCUGGGCGCGGUGGUUCAUGCCUGUAAUGCCAGCACUUUGGGAGGCCGAGGCGGGCGGAUCACCUGAGGUUGGGAGUUCGAGACCAGCCUAACCAGCAUGGAGAAACCCCGUCUCUACUAAAAAUACACAAUUAGCCAGGUGUGGUGGCGCAUGCCUGUAAUCCCAACUACUUGGGAGGCUGAGGCAGGAGAAUCACUUGAACCCAGGAGGCAGAGGUUGCGGUGAGCCAAGAUUGCGCCAUUGCACUCCAGCCUGGACAACAAGAGCGAAACUCCGUGUCAAAAAUAAAUAAAUAAAUAAAUAAAUAAUAAAAUAAAAUAAACAAGGCAUUUGGCAAAAUCCAGUAAUCACAAUCAAAACUCUCAGCAAACUAGAGCUAGAAAGGAAUUCCUCAGCCUAUUAAAGGCAUAUAUGAAACACCUGCAAUUAACAUCUUAAUGAGGAACAAGAACGCUUUUCUUAUAAGAUCUGGAAAAGACAAGAAUGUCCACUGUUACCACUUCUUUUCAAACUUGUACUAGAAGUUCUAACCAAUGGAGUAGUUUUGUUUUGGGUUUUUUUGUUUGUUUGUUUGUUUGUUUUUGAGACAGAGUUUUGCUCUUUCGCCUAGGCUGGAGUGCCGUGGCGUGAUCUUGGCUCACUGCAACCUCCGCCUUCCGGUUUCAAGCAAUUCUCCUGCCUCAGCCUCCUGAGUAGCUGGGAUUACAGACACCUGCCACCAUGCCCAGCUAAUUUUUGUAUUUUUAGUAGAGACAAGGUUUCACUAUGUUGGCCAGGCUGGUCUCAAACUCCUGACCUUGUGAUCCACCCGCGCCUCGGCCUCCCAAAGUGCUGGGAUUACAGGCAUGAGCCAUUGCAUCCAGCUUGUUUUGUUUUUAAAAGAGAAUUAAAAGGCAUUCAGAUUGGAAAGGAAAAGGUAAAGCUGCUUUUAUUUACAGACAACACGAUCAUCUAUGUAGAAAAUCCUAAGGAUUUACAAAAAAUGGAGGUACAAGAACUAAUAUGUGAGUUCAGCAAGGUUGUAUGUCUCAAAAAAAAAAGAUACAUGGAUAAGAAAUAACAUGUGAAAAGAUUCUCAAAAAAACCCUCAAAUCUCUGACAAUAAAAAGAGUAAGAACAAAUCAAUACUCUAAUGAAUGAAAGGGAAAUGUAAUCACAGACAUAGCAGAUUUGUUGUUGUUGUUGUUAUUUUUUGAGAUGGAGUCUCACUCUGUCGCCCAGGCUGGAGUGCAGUGGUGUCGUCUCAGCUCACUGCAAACUCCGACUCACAGGUUUAAGUGAUUCUCGUGCCUCAGACUCUGGAGUACCUGGGAUUAGAGGUGCGCACCACCUUGCCCGGCUAAUUUUUGUAUUUUUAGUGGAGACGGGGUUUUGUGGUAUUGGCCAGGCUGGUCUUGAACUCCUGAUCUCAGGUGAUCUGCCUGCCUCAUCCUCCCAAAGUGCUAGGAUUACAGGCGUGAGCCACCACACCCGGCCAGAUGGGGUGUGUGUGUGUGUGUGUGUGUGUGUGUGUGUGUGUGUUGGGUUUUGUUUGUUUGUUUGUUUGUUUUUUUGAGACAGGGUCUCACUCUGUUACCUAGGCUGGAGUGGCACAAUCAUAACUCACUGCAGCCUUGACUUCCUUGGCCCAAGUGAUCUUCCCACUUCAGCUUCCUGAGUAGCUGGGACCACAGGUAUGCACCACCACACCCAGCUAAUUAUUAUUAUUAUUAUUAUUUUGAGAUGGAGUCUUGCUCUGUAGCCCAGGCUGGAGUGCAAUGGCAUGAUCUCGGCUCACCACAACCUCCGCCUCCCAGCUUCAAGUGAUUCUCCUGCCUGAGCCUCCCGAGUAGCUGGGAUUAUAAACAUGCGCCACCACGCCCGGGUAAUUUUGUAUUUUUAGUAGAGAUGGGGUUUCUCCACGUUGGUCAGGCUGGUCUCGAACUCCUGGCCUCAAGCGAUCCUCCCACCUCGGCCUCUCAAAGUCCUGGGAUUACAGGUGUGAGCCACCAUGUCUAGCUGAAGAUGCUAAAAACAUAUGAGAACUGUCCUUAACACAAAUAAAUUUGAAAACCUAGUGCCCUGCUGAAACCUAAACCCCAAGGUGAUCAGAAGUGGGAGGUGAUUAGGUCCUGAGAGUGCGAUUAGUGCCCUUAUAUUAAUAGAAGAUACUUUUGCCCCUUCUACCGCUUGAGGACACAGUAAAAAGGCACCAUAUUGGCCGGGCACAGUGGCUCACGCCUGUAAUCCUAACACUUUGGGAGGCCAAAGAGGGCGGAUUACCUAAAUUUGGGAGUUCGAGACCAGCCUGACCAACAUGGAGAAACCCUGUCUCUACUAAAAGCACAAAAUUAGCUGGAGGUGGUGGCACAUGCCUGAAUCCCAGCUACUCAGGAAGCUUUGGCAGGAGAAUUGCUUGAACCCGGGAGGCAGAGGUUGAAGUGAGCCGAGAUCGCACCAUUGCACUCCAGCCUGGGCAAUAAGAGUGAAACUCUGUCUCAAAACAAACAAACAAGAAAAAAAGAAAACAAAAAUAGCCGGCUGUGGUGGUGGGCGCCUGUAAUCCCAGCUACUCGGGAGCCUGAGACAGGGAGAAUUGCUUGAACCCAGGAAGCAGAAGUUGCAGUAAGCCGAGAUCGAGCCACUGCACUCCAGCCUGAGCGACACAGCAAGACUCCGUCUUGUGGGGGAAAAAAAAAGAAGGCAUCAUAUUUGAAGCAGAGAACAAGCCCUCACCAGACACUGAACCUGCUGGCACCUUGACUUGGACUUCCCAGCCUCUGGAAAGCAAGCAAUAAAUUUGUUGUUUGUUAAUUACCUAAUCUAAGGUAUUUUGUUAUAGCAGCCGGAAUGGUAAUAUUCCAUUGACUCAAGAAAAAUGGAAUAAUCCUAUAAAUACUAAAUAUUCAUGUAUAUUAAAGAAAUUGGCCAGGUGUGGUGGCUCACACCUGUAAUACUAGCACUUUGGGAGGCCAAGGUAGGAGGAUCACUUAAGUCUAGGAGAUUCAAUCAAGAUCGGUCUUUCUGAUCUUGAUUAGAGAACUCUUAUAGAAGAAUUUUCACUGCAACCUCUGCCUCCCAGGUUCAAGCAUUCAUUUAAAAUUUUUUGCAGAUGGCAGAUUGUGGGGCUUCUCAGCCUCCAUAACCUUGUCAACCAAUUUCCAUAAUAAAUCACCUCUUAUAUAUCUAUAUCUGUUUGGUUCUUUCUGGAGACCCUGGACCAAUGCAAAUGGAUUAAUAAACUGUGGGCCAGGUGCAGCCCACAAAAAUUCAUUUAAAAUUGAAUAAUUUUACCAUAUUAAAACUCAGGAUUUCUGUUCCUCAAAAGACAUCCUCAUACUACAAUUUAUCUAAGAAACUCUGGAUAUAAAAUAUAUUUUUUAAGAAGAAAGAAGAGGCCGAGUGCGGUGACUCACACCUGUAAUCCCAGCACUUUGGGAGGCCAAGAGGGGCAGAUUACCUGAAGUCAGGAGUUCAAGACCAGCCUGGUCAACAUGGUGAAACCCCGCCUCUACUAAAAAUACAAAAAUUAGCUGGGCAUGGUGGUGCACGCCUGUAGUCUCAGCUACUUGGGAGGCUGAGGCAGGAGCGAUUAUUGCUUGAACCUGGGAGGCAGAGGUUGCAAUGAGCCGAGAUCAUGCCACUGCACUCCUGCCUGGGCUACAGAGUGAGACUUCAUCUUAAAAAAAAAAAAAAAAAAGAAGGAGAAGGAAGAAAACACAUGAUGAAACAGAAAAAAGUGGCCGGGCGCGGUGGCUCACGCCUGUAAUCCCAGCACUUUGGGAGGCCAAGGCAGGCAGAUCACAAGCUCAGGAGAUCGAGACCAUCCUGGCUAACAAGGUGAAAUCCCGUCCCUACUAGAAAUACAAAAAAUUAGCCAGGUAUGGUGGCGGACACCUGUAGUCCCAGCUACUCAGGAGGCUGAGGCAGGAGAAUGGCGUGAACCCAGGAGGUGGAGCUUGCAGUGAGCCAAGAUUGCGCCACUGCACUCCAGCCUGGACGACAGAGCGAGACUCUGUCUCAAAAAAAAAAAAAAAGAAAAAGAAAAGAAAAAGGAAAAAAAAGAAAAAAGUGGUUAUCAGUCUCAGUGUGGUGGCUCACACCUGUAAUCUCAGCUCUUUGGGAGGAGGCCGAGGUGGAAGUAUUACUUGGGCCCAGGAGUCUGAGACCAGCCUCGGCAACAAAGCGAGACCUCAUCUCUACUAAAAUUUUUUUAAAAGAUUAGUGGGGUGUUAGCUGGGCGUGGUGGCUCAUGCCUGUAAUCCCAGCACUUUGGGAGGCUGAGGUGGGUGGAUCAUAAGGUCAGGAGAUUGAGACCAUCUUGGCUAACACGGUGAAACCCCAUCUCUACUAAAAAUAAAAAAAAAUAAAAAAUAAAAAAUUAGCCAGGCAUGGUGGCGGGCACCUGUAGUCCCAGC
rnacentral:lncRNA from 1 species